CGGAGGCUACCGCUAUUGGAGUUCGAUUAAGCCAUGCGAGUCGCGAGUCUUAGGGACUCGGCGUACCGCUCAGUAACACGUGGGUAACCUGCCCUAUGCUGGGGAAUAACCUCGGGAAACUGAGAAUAAUGCCCCAUAGUUCACCACGCCUGGAACGGUGGGUGGAUGAAAGCUCCGGCGGCAUAGGAUGGGCCUGCGGCGUAUCAGGUCGUAGGGGGUGUAAUGUACCCUCUAGCCAUCGACGCGUACGGGUGUUGGGAGACAUUGCCCGGAGAUGGAUUCUGAGACACGAAUCCAGACCCUACGGGGUGCAGCAGGCGCGAAAACUUGGCAAUGCGAGAAAUCGUGACCAGGGAACUCCAAGUGCAUCGGGUAAGACCGAUGCUUUUCUUGACUCUUCAAAGGUCUUGGAAUAAGGGGUGGGUAAGGACGGUGCCAGCCGCCGCGGUAAUACCGGCGCCUCAAGUGGUAGUCGCUUUUAUUGGGCCUAAAACGUCCGUAGCCGGUUUGGUACAUUCGUGGGUAAAUCAAGGCGCUCAACGUCUUGAAUUCUGCGAGCACGGCCAGACUUGGGACCGGGUGAGGUGUGGGGUACUCUCAGGGUAGGGGUAAAAUCCUGUCAUCCUGAGAGGACCACCUGUUGCGAAGGCGCCACACUAGAACGGAUCCGACGGUCAGGGACGAAGCCUAGGGGCACGAACCGGAUUAGAUACCCGGGUAGUCCUAGGUGUAAACGCUGUGGACUUGAUGUUGGGAGUGCUCCGAGCACCCUCAGUGUCGAAGCGAAGGUGAUAAGUCCACUGCCUGGGGAGUACGGUCGCAAGGCUGAAACUUAAAGGAAUUGGCGGGG
rnacentral:rRNA from 1 species